CUUUUCUUUGGCAACACAUACAUUGAAAUUGGAAUGAGGGAGAUUAGCAUGUCCCCUGCUGAAGGAUGACACACAAAUUCAUGAAGCAUUCUUACUUAAA
rnacentral:snRNA from 1 species